GCUCAUUAUUAACACCCGUAAUCUACCCAGUCUUCGUAUCCAAAACGGAUAUCUGCGUUAAUUUUGGAGCUAAAACGUGCACCAAAGCACCGCCAGCAAUGGUAGUGCGCACUUAUUAGUUUAAGGCCGAUUGGGGCAACCCUCUUGGUGACUCUGAAUAAUUUUGCGGAUCGCAUGGUCUUGUACCGGCGACGUACUGGUCGAGCGGGUGCCCUAUCAACUAUUGAUGGAAGUCUAUGUGUCUUCCAUGGUUGUAACGGGUAACGGAGAAUAAGGGUUCGACUCCGGAGAGCUAGCCUUAGAAACGGCUAUCACAUCCAAGGAAGGCAGCAGGCGCGUAAAUUACCCACUCUCAAUUCGAGGAGGUAGUGACUAUCAAUAACGAGACAGAUCUCUUUGAGGUCUGUCAUUGAAAUGAGCACAACUUAAAGACUUUAACGAAGUCUAUGGGAGGGCAAGUCUGGUGCCAGCAGCCGCGGUAAUUCCAGCUCCCAACGUGUAUAUCGUCAUUGCUGCGGUUAAAAAGCUCGUAGUUGGAUCUAAGUUCAUGACUGUAGUUCUCCAUGUGAGAUACUGCUAGUCUGGACUGUUUCGCCGGUUUUCCGUAGCUUCGGCUGCGGUGACUGGUGUUGUAACUUUGAUUAAAUC
rnacentral:rRNA from 1 species